UUCGAGUGAAACACAGACCGACGAAUAAUCUUGUGUAUUUUGAGAAACGUCUUUUGUUUGAAAAUAAGUAGCUACCCAACGUUUUGUGGUGGUGCUGCUGUUCUAAGGGCGGGAUCGAAACAUGCCUGACCAGUUCUGUUUGUCUGUACCGACUGGACCUGAUAUUAAUGCCACGCUGGAAGAGUCAUAGCUUUAUCAGCCACGUGCUGGAUAGCGGCACUAUGCCAGUCCCACGACGCGCAACUGGAGGAACAAUCACGGGAUUUCUUUCCUAACGUUCCAGUCUCCAUGUGAAUCUGAAUGUGACAGCACCGUGUGUGGCGUGCAGCUAAGGACGUGUGGUACUGCCAAAAUACCUGAAUACGUAUACCCAAAUUGUUAAGAGUAGCCUGAUUAGAUCAUCAGACUCAGGAGGUAAAACAACGAGAAGACUGUAAAUUAAACAAGUAAAUCAUA